GACUUUGUCGGGUUCACCGUCACAAUACGCUUUCUUCUCGUGUCAGAAUACGCUUUUACAAUUUGUACGGACAAAAUCCUAAUAUAAACGAGGUGGUACUAAUAUAAAUAUAAACACGAUUCAACGAGCCCUGUCUCACGCACGAUAACUCCAGACGCCCUCCGCCGCCACGCCCCCAUCCCUCCAACUCCGCUGCGCACGGGAGCAGGGGGAACCUGCGACGGCGGUGGCAUGAUCUCCGGCAAGCGGCGGGUUCGAGCGGUGGGGCCGGGAUCUGGUGGCGGCAGCGAGCUCCUGUAGAUCGGCGGCCUAUCCUCUCCUCUGCGUACGCACAAGGCACAAUAGCACGGGGUCCUCUCCCUACACGGCACGGCACCGCCGCCACGCGCGGCCAGUCUUCCUCUCCAGCUACCCUCGAGCAGCGCCGUCGUUGCCCUGUUCUUCUUCGCCUCCUCACCCGCCCCAACUCCUCACCCCCAGCCCUCUCCACCUCGAGGCGGACGUCUCUGAUUUGGAUAGGAGUCGAUGGCGUGUUCACGAUGGAAUACUGCUCCAACACGUAGCUAUGGGUCCAACCCGAAUAUCAGAUCAAUCUCCCUGCCAUAAGAAGAAACCCUAGAGUGGAAGCACAAGUAAAUCGCAUUGCAAGUUUGUAAGACGAGAUUGUUGUGCGGGAACUGUCCAAUCUCGCCUCCACCUACUUCGCCGGAAGACCAUCUGCAAUCCGACGUUGCUCUACACAUCGCCGGAACUCCGAGUGCCGGUUCUCCAUGAGGUAUUGCAUACUGAAGACACAAGGAGAAUUGGAAUCAUGCUAUUUGUUUUUCUAGAAACCUACAGUUAAUGAAGCAAACAUAAACUGAACCUUAGUGUGCUACUUCCUGAUCUUCAGCUAAUUUUUCAUUGAUUGAUUCAUUGUUGUGUUUAGUUAGUCUAUCCACAAGCUAGAGGGACUAGGUUAAUUAAGAACAAUGUCUAAGGUAAUGAUUCACUAUGUACAGGUUGCUACCAUGUCAUAUUUGGUUGGCUUAGAGUGACAAGUAUUUCAAGGGUAAUCAAGUUGAUAAGCACCAGCUUAAAUUCAACCAAAAAUUUUAUGGCGUGAUCUCAAAUCUGUGAGCACACGAACCACGGAACUUCACCCAGCCAUUCUGGAUUUUUUAAUUGAGAGACAACUAAUUUCUCAUUGUUUGAUUCAUCAUGCUUACUCGCUCUGUCCUAGAGAGACUAACAUUGUUCUCCGAUCUGGUUGAUUCACUUCAGUUAAAUUUUCCAGUAGCUUCAGCUCUGUACAUUGGCAUGAAAAGGUGUUUGCCGUUUAGACGAAUUAACUGUUGGAUACUCCAUGAAAGAGGUAGGCCCAUCGCAUGAUUAGGAAGAAUAAGGUGUAUGCUAUACUUGAACAGAUUCCGUUAAGGAGACCAUUUAGCAUGGUCUGCUGGUUAUAGCCUUCUGUCUUGAACUGUAGGCAGAAGUGAAUUUGCUGCUUUGUGCACUCAGGAAGCUGAUUUCGUGUCGUGAACUCUACAGUUGCAUAUAUUUAGUCCCUCUACACAAGCAGGCACAAACGUCCUUUUGAUUUAUUUAUUUUUGAAUUAGGCCGCAUAAGUAGGCAGCAGUUACAAUCAAUGGUGAUGCAGAUUGAAGUACAGGCAAGAUUGCACCUUUAGUAACAUCAGUAUCAACUAUCAAGUAUGUUUAAUCUCAUUUAUCCGUAAGCUUAAUAUGUUGUAUACUUGUAUGGUGAUGCAGAGUUGAAGUACACUGCAAUCUGCACUGGGAUGUCCGUAAGCUUAAUCUCAUUUAUCCAUUGAAGGAGGUCGUCCUUGUGAUCACUGGAAACAUGUUUGUGAUUGAGGCACACAGCAAAAUGGCUCACACUCACCACCAUUACUCGAAGGACCAUCUCCAUAUACGAGUUGCUUUACCUGAAAGCAGAUUUCUGAAGAUAUAUAUUUUUUCGUAUUUGUUUUAUAUUUUUGGACAACUGGUUGUUUAUAUUGGUGGAGAUCCAGUGCUUUACAGAGCCCGCAUAUAAAGGUAAUGUGUAUUGCUAUUUUUCUUACUUAGUAGCAUUAGAAUCUCCCCAUCUCUUUAUACGGAGGUGAUGGCGAAGGAGGAAGAGUUGUGUCAGGCCCAGCUCAAGCUAGAUGAAGAAGAGGAGGCCAGAAAGAGAGAAUCAGCAAGGCAGAAGCCUUUUGAUCUCAAGGCACGAUUCUGCGGGUUGGUGAGCUACUAACAAAGACACACCUCUAUUCUGAAUUUCUACUUGAAAAAGAUGGACCAUCAGCUACGGAAUAUGUUCGCUGUUGACAUUGGUGGUGGUGUCUUUUGGUUCAACAUGAAGUUGUUUAAGUGAAAAAUGCAGUGGAACAUGUGGAACAAAGGACGUGGUAUGGAAAGGAAAGCAAAGCAAAGCCUAAACAGUACAAUGAUGCAGGUUCAGAUUUCAUAUGUUAUCUUCCCUGCCUCAGGAAUAUGAAAUGGUUGUCUUCUAGAUUAUGAACGUGUCUUUAUUUGUCAUGUAUUGUCGACGCACUGUGUAGUCUGUACUAAUUCUACUGAGACUGCUUGAUCUCUUAUCAUUCACACUUCAGAAUUUUCUAAUUAUCUUAUUAUUAGUAGUAUCAUCCUUCCAACGUACUGAUUCACAAAUCUUAGCUAAUUAGGAAGGAACUACAUGUUUAUCCAUUCUUUUUCAGAUAUGGUGCUCUUGUAGGCAAAGUAGAUGCAUAAUUCUUUUGGAAGGAAGGGCAGGCACACUAGAUAAUGAUGUAUUAUGUUUCUGGCCCAGAACAGGCAGCCCCCAUCAUCCACAACCUUGAUUCCACAAUAUACCCCGCUGAUAUGAUCUAGAGGAGCGAGGAGCUGGGCAAGGAGUCACUGCCGGUUCACAUGACCAAGAAGGGGUACGCGAUUUUGGGAAGAGAUGCAGGAAGACUGGAAGAAGAUUGACUUCAGUCGCUUCGGCAUCGCCGGCAGCGCCGACGGGAUCCUGCUUUAUUCCGAAGAACUGAUUUUAUAUGAUUCUGAACCUAGCCGUCCAACAUCAUAUCUGUCCAGCUAUACAAGCUUGUAUGCAGCCAAGUUAGUUGCUUUAUUAUGGACUCAACGAGGAAGAGCACUACCACUUUUUCAGAAUUUGAUUUUGUGAACCUUCAUGUUGCACUAUCACAUAUUGCACAUGAGUUGAUUCAGGUUUCCAGAGUUCAGACCACAACAAUCAAUCGGUCUGAAGGUGCUCCUGUUUUAUAUCAGAUCGUGAGGAAUGGGGACCCUUUUCGGAUAUUUGACUACUAUAUUUGCAUGCCGGAGUUCGCCGCCGUCUGCCGUGCUGUGAUUUUUGGGUAUGAUGCUAGAUUACGUGGUUGCAUAGUUCCUUCUUUUUCUUCUUCAAAUUCAAUAUUCUUGGGUCAUGGUGUGCUCAUGCUGAUUUGCAGCCCGGAUGAUAGUCCGUGGGAGGGAGGUUAGUUGAUCUAGCUGUAUUUAGUAGCUAUUUCAAUAAUGUUAUAGAAUCUUUGCUAAA